GUGGCGCACGGGUGCGUAACGCGUAUGCAACCUACCUUAAUCAGGGGGAUAGCCUCUCGAAAGAGAGAUUAACACCGCAUAAAAUCACACUUCGGCAUCGAAGAAUGAUCAAAUAUUUAUAGGAUUAAGAUGGGCAUGCGUGACAUUAGUUUGUUGGUGAGGUAACGGCUCACCAAGACUACGAUGUCUAGGGGAUCUGAGAGGAUGACCCCCCACACUGGUACUGAGACACGGACCAGACUCCUACGGGAGGCAGCAGUAAGGAAUAUUGGUCAAUGGGGGCAACCCUGAACCAGCCAUGCCGCGUGCAGGAAGACGGCCCUACGGGUUGUAAACUGCUUUUAUACGGGAAUAAACCUCUCUACGUGUAGAGAGUUGAAUGUACUGUAAGAAUAAGGAUCGGCUAACUCCGUGCCAGCAGCCGCGGUAAUACGGAGGAUCCAAGCGUUAUCCGGAUUUAUUGGGUUUAAAGGGUGCGUAGGCGGCCUAUUAAGUCAGUGGUGAAAUCUUUCGGCUCAACCGGAAGCUUGCCCUUGAUACUGAUGGGCUUGAUUACACUUGAGGUAGGCGGAAUGUGACAAGUAGCGGUGAAAUGCAUAGAUAUGUCACAGAACACCAAUUGCGAAGGCAGCUUACUAAGGUGUUAAUGACGCUGAGGCACGAAAGCGUGGGGAUCAAACAGGGUUAGAUACCCUGGUAGUCCACGCCCUAAACGAUGAAUACUCGAUGUUAGCGAUAUACAGUUAGCGUCAAAGCGAAAGCGUUAAGUAUUCCACCUGGGGAGUACGCCCGCAAGGGUGAAACUCAAAGGAAUUGACGGGGGCCCGCACAAGCGGA
rnacentral:rRNA from 1 species